CCUACGGGAGGCAGCAGUGAGGAAUAUUGGUCAAUGGGCGCGAGCCUGAACCAGCCAAGUAGCGUGCAGGAUGACUGCCCUAUGGGUUGUAAACUGCUUUUAUGCGGGAAUAAAGUCAGGUACGUGUACCUGUUUGUAUGUACCGCAUGAAUAAGGACCGGCUAAUUCCGUGCCAGCAGCCGCGGUAAU
rnacentral:rRNA from 1 species